GGCUGGUCCCAUGGUAGUGGGUUGUCAGAACUUAUUAACAUUAGUGUCACUAAAGUUUGUAUUCAACCCCCCACUGCUAAAUUUGACUGGCUUAAA
ensembl:misc_RNA Y_RNA Y RNA